CAGUAGCCGCGGGAAUGCGAAGGGGGCUAGCGUUGUUCGGAAUUACUGGGCGUAAAGGGCGCGUAGGCGGCCAUUCAAGUUAGAUGUGAAAUCCCCGGGCUCAACCUGGGAACUGCAUCUGUGACUGGCAAGCUAGAGUGUGGCAGAGGGGGGUGGAAUCCCGCGUGUAGCAGUGAAAUGCGUAGAUAUGCGGAGGAACACCGAUGGCGAAGGCAGCCCCCUGGGCCAACACUGACGCUCAUGCACGAAAGCGUAGGGAGCAAACAGGAUUAGAUACCCCAGUAGUCCCUGUCUCUUAUAC
rnacentral:rRNA from 1 species